UGUCCCCUGCAUAGGCAGGCAGAUUCUUUACCACUGCGUUACCAACAGCUAUGUCCUAAAAGGUCUCAUUAACAAAAUCACAUCAAUAUCUGUGACAUUCAGAGAGACACGAUAUAUUUAUUAUAAAAUAUGGACAUGAUGUGUCCUUGCUCUUGCUUUCUUAGGAGGAGUGGGUAAGGGAGAGUCUUCAGCUCGGACAGGAUCAAGCGUGUCAGCAGUUGGGGAAGGAAAAGGAACCACUCUUUUCAUCAACGUUGCUCUGGAGCUCUGUGGGGUAUUUUCCCCUCCCUGAGUGACAAUUGUAUUGAUGCAUGAAGUAAAUAAGAAAAUACUCUCUAUGUGUGCAUUUUUGAUGAUUUUUUAUGCUUUCCACUUGCCAGUUAUGUGCUGGGGGCCCCGGGGGCAGGACCUGAACCAUUCAUUAGAAACGAUAAGCUGAGACCACCUGUAGUGUUUUUUCUGCUGCUCAAAGGGAUUGUCUUUCGUGAAAACCCAAGCCCAACUCAUUGAAGCCACGGUACUAGACAUUUGGCUUCCAAAAUGGUUUAAAACUCCCGUUUCCAAGUCCCAUCUUAAAAAAGACUUGAGUUCAGGAAGGCUUUUGGUAGGGGGAAAAUACCCAUUAGAGCUGGAAAAUCUUACUGUUUCCUUUACUGGUUUCUCUUUCUCUAUUUUUUUAAACGUCUGGAAACUGCAUUCUGUAGGUCUGGGAGGAAAAGUUAAUCUCUGUUUCACUUCUUUGCAGUUCCCAGAGAGGGUAAUUUGCUUUCAAGCUGCAGAAAAAUAGCUGAGGGAACUAUUGGAGAAGUUUCUCUCACCACUUUGAACACAGAAAUCUUUUGUGGAAAAUUUGAGGCCUGUCAUCCUCUGUGCUCAGCUCCAAAGUGUAAAGUCACACAGAGGCCUAUCUUCAAGGAGCUCAGAGAUGAAUGGGCACUGCCCACUCUGCUUCACACGAAUGAAUCCAUUCCCGGGAUUGGAAUCAGAAGGCCUGGGUUCUUGUCCUCGUCUCAUACUGUUGAUACCAACCAGGAUUCUUGGCCUUCCCCAAUCAAUAGAAAUUGACCAGAUGCCAGACAAGAAAUUCAGGCAAGUCUUUACUGGGGUCUCUGCUGCAGCAGUGGAUAGUGAGAAAAGACAGG